AGUCAGUGCCAGAGGUUAAUGGUGGAGAUUACAAUGAGGAUGGAAGAGAGGUUAGUGGUAGAUUCUUUUUGAGUUAUUAAUUACACACAUUGCAUAAUAAAGGGUUAUGUUUUAAAUUUGUUUCAUUGUGUAUAAUAAAAUGCAGGAAGAGAACUAUAUAUGACUAAGAAGUUGAAGUUUGUAGCAUUAGUAUAAGAUGGCUG
rnacentral:lncRNA from 1 species